rnacentral:lncRNA from 1 species
UUAUAUAAAAAAGUGGCUUCUUUACUUGAAAUACUCUGCAGAGGACAGAAAGCUAUAUGGAAAAUGUGUAAAAAGCACGCAUGACAUUAAAUGAAACAGGAUGAUAAAAUGUUUACAAGACUGUUACAGUUCCACACAUAAAUGACGUGUCAAGUAGUUUGUGAGUGUGACAUAAGGAGUGUGAACAAGUGAAACAUGAUUAGGAAGGCAGAAACAAUCCCUUUACUAUUUUCAUAGGUGUUAUGAUUUUGUUUUUACAAUGAGUAAAAUGUAAGUUUCUGUCUGCUUUCUAUACUAACAAUCAGCGCCUCCGAUAAACUAUGUUGCUGGGUGUGAACUGUAUCAUUUAAGUAACAAAUGUGCACCGGAGCGGGGAUAGUUUGUUCUUCCUUAACAGCCGCAGGUGCAGCAAACGGAAGUCCCUGGAGCUGCAGCUGAGGCCCACGCCACAGCCACUGCCACUGCCACACCAGGUCUGAGCAGAUGUGCGACCUACGCCGCAGGUUGCGGCAACGCCAGAUCCUUAACCCACUGGGCAAGGCCAGGGAUCGAACCUGCAUCCUCACUGACGCUAUGCCAGGUCCUGAACCAGCUGAGCCACAAUGGGAACUCUGUAAGAGGGACAUUUUAAAGACUCAAGAUCUCCGUAUAAAAGAGUAGCUACGAUGGAAUUGUUUGGGGAACCCUCCCUAAAAUGAGCUGUGAACUGGAAGUCCGGCUGGAGUCCCACCUGGGCACUAAGCUCAGAUUUGGCCAAACCUCUUCUCCACUCUGAGACUCGGAUUCCCGGUCUCACCACGAAGGGCCUGCACAGGAGCAGCCACCCUGACAGGCCUGGCGUGGGCAUCUCCUCGGGGCCUCCGCACUGACUGUGACGCUCUGGUCCCCUCGCCCGUUUCCAGGAGACGGCACCUGGGCCCUGCGUAGUCUGGCCGCAGAGGCGGCUGGCGUCAGGACACCGAGAGGAGAACCCGGGUCAGCAGGGCACCCCGGGAGCACUUGACACGGGCUGGAAUCUCCUUGGCUCCUGCAGCAGCAGAAACUGCAGAGUCCCAGGCAAAGGGCCCGGACCGUGGGCCCAGCCUCACGGGUGCAGCCCCGCUCUCUUCAGCUGCCCCACAAAUACUGACAGACCCCGCGAAAGGAGAAAAACACAUCGAAAGGGGAUAGCCCACCUUCUGCGGAGUUAUUUUUUCAUUAUAAAUUAUUUUAAAUUACACAAGUGACACAUAAUUAUUAUAUCCUUGUAUGAAAAAGGGAAAAAAUGCAAAAGAAGGAGAAGCCUCUCCAAGCACCUGCGCCCAACUAACUACCACUCCCUCCCACACGCACAUGCGUGAGUGUUCCACCAGUGGCCUGGAGGAAAAGAAAAAGUUGUUUUCUUUGAUUUAUAUACUCAUUAUAAAACCCACAAACUCUCAGAGCUCGCUGGCGGCCUAGUGGUUAAGGGUCCAGCAUUGUCAUUGCUGUGGCUCAGGUCACUACUGUGACAUGGGUUGGAUCCCUGGCCUGGGAACAGCGGUGGGCAUGGCCCAAAAAACUCCAAAAACGUACAAACACUCAAAGUUUCAUUUGAGACUUUGAAACAAAAAAUGGAAUCUUACAGAGUACCCCCUUGUGGCACAGUGGGUUAAGGAUCUGGCCUUGUCUCUGCGGUGGGGUGGGUUAGACCCUUGGCCUGGGAACUUUCGCAUGCCAUGGGCACAGCAAAAAAAUAAAAUAAAAAUAAAGGAAUCUUAAUAAUUCCUGUUUUGAAAUUUCCUUCAUAGGGAUUCUUAGAAAUCUUUUGUUAUCAGUACGUACAGAUCUGCCUAUUCCUUCAACUUGCUUCCCGGCAUCCCCAGGGUAUGUGUGCCACGGACUUGGUUUGCAACUCUUGGUCCCUCAUGUUUCUGGACUUAUGCUCUCCAGGUGUUUGUAUGGUCCUGGUUAUAUCACUAAAGAAUAUGGGAGUUCCCGUUGGGCUCAGCAGGUCAAGAACCCAACUGGUAUCCAUGAGGAUGCAGGUUUGAUCCCUGGCUUCACUCAGUGGCUGAAGGAUCCGGUGUCACCACAAACCGCGGCAUAGGCCGCAGAUGAGGCUUGGAUCCUGUGUUGCUGUGGCUGUGGUGUAGGCCAGCAGCUGCAGCUCCGAUUCAACCCCUAACCUGGGAACCUCCAUAUACCACAGGUGCAGCCUUAAAAAGAAAAAGAAAUUAGCAGUGCGAUUCUGCUGUGUAGCCCUGGGAACUCUGUCUAGUCAUUUACGAUGGAGCCAGAUAAUGUGGGAAAAGAGAAUGAGCAGGUGUAUGUGUGACGGGGUCACCUUGCUGUGCAGUAGAAAAUUGACAGCACGCUGUCAACCAGCUACAAAGGAAAAAAAUAAAAAUCAUUAAAAAAAACAAAAAGAAAGAAAAAGGAAAUGGAUGAAAGACUUACACAUAAAACUUGCAAUUAAAAAAUAAAUAAAUAAACGUGCAAAGCUGGGCAUAGAAAAUAAUGACAAUGGGCCCGUUCCUUUAGUCAUUCAACCAACAAAAACCUACGGAACGCCUCCUUUGAGUAUACACGCUUCAUCUUUUAAAACAGGAGCAGCCAGAGCUGCACAUACGCGUUUAGCAAAUAACAGCAAUCGUGUUGCUACAUGGUUUGAAAUUCAUUCGUCAUUCCUCAGGAGCAGCCUACGUGGUGCCAGGCUUUCUGCUAAGCUUGGUAGGACUCUGCGGUAUUAGUUGUGACUGCUGUGGUUGCAGUGAACAAAACUCCUCUUUAAACUCUAGCAGAUAAGGCACUGGCUUCCAUAAGUAACCCUUUCAAAGGAGCAACGCUGCCGGGAAGACGGAUGUUCAUUUCUCAGCUGCUUUCCUCCGGGUCGGCUUCCUUCCGAGACGGGCGCUCUCCCGGCGCUGGCAAGGGGGUAGGUGCCAGGCCUAAACCCAAUCCUCUUAGCCGUCCAGCAAGGGAGCUGCCCCAGUUGUCCAGCAAAAGAUGAGGCUUCGCUCAUAUAUCAGUUUGGCUCAGAUGCCUCUGCCUAAGCCAGGCCCUUCUCGGACAGGUCAGUCGGAAUCCGGAGUCAAGCUGUCGCAUGGAAAUGCCCCCAAGGCAAGACUUCUCAAAGCGGGACCACCCCUCCGGGAAAGCGCUCCUGUUCUAACUUCAAACCGAACUUUGGUGUUUCCCUUUAUUAUGAACCCAGCAAACGACACACGGCUGUAUUAAAAGUACCCACCACCUUGUCACCAACCGAAAUCACAGGUGUCUCACGGCACAUGGCAGCUGCAUAGCUCUCGCCACGUCACCUAUGCUCAUCCCACUGUGAAAUGACGGUGGCUGUCGGACCAAUUCCGUCUUGUUAUUUCACGUGUUAAUACAUACACAUGGCACUAUAUCAAAAACCUGUUUUUCUCGGAGUUCCCGUUGUGGCACAGCAGAAACGAAUCCGACUAGGAACCAUGAAGUUGUGGGUUCAAACCCUGGCCUCGCUCCGGGGGUUCAGGAUCUGGCGUGGCCAUGAGCUGUGGUGUAGGUCCCAGACGUGGCUUGGAUCCUGAGUUGCUGUGGCUCUGGUGUAGGCCAGCAGGCAACAGCUCUGAUUCGACCUCUAGCCUGGGAAUCUCCAUAUGCCCUGGUGCAGCCCUAAAAGGAAAAAAGACAGGAAAAAAAAAAAAAAAA